UACGUAGGGGGCAAGCGUUGUCCGGAAUCACUGGGCGUAAAGCGCGUGUAGGCGGAUCGCUAAGUCUGUGGUGAAAGCGCCUGGCUUAACCGGGCGAGGUCCAUGGAAACUAGCGGUCUGGAGGCCGGUAGAGGGGGGUGGAAUUCCGGGUGUAGUGGUGAAAUGCGUAGAGAUCCGGAGGAACACCAGUGGCGAAGGCGGCCCCCUGGGCCGCGCCUGACGCUGAGACGCGAAAGCGCGGGGAGCGAACGGG
rnacentral:rRNA from 1 species